GUAACGGAGGCGCCCAAAGGUUCCCUCAGAAUGGUUGGAAAUCAUUCGUAGAGUGCAAAGGCAUAAGGGAGCUUGACUGCGAGACCUACAAGUCGAGCAGGGACGAAAGUCGGGCUUAGUGAUCCGGUGGUUCCGCAUGGAAGGGCCAUCGCUCAACGGAUAAAAGCUACCCCGGGGAUAACAGGCUUAUCUCCCCCAAGAGUCCACAUCGACGGGGAGGUUUGGCACCUCGAUGUCGGCUCAUCGCAUCCUGGGGCUGUAGUCGGUCCCAAGGGUUGGGCUGUUCGCCCAUUAAAGCGGUACGCGAGCUGGGUUCAGAACGUCGUGAGACAGUUCGGUCCCUAUCCGUCGUGGGCGUAGGAAAUUUGAGAGGAGCUGUCCUUAGUACGAGAGGACCGGGAUGGACGCACCGCUGGUGUACCAGUUGUUCUGCCAAGGGCAUAGCUGGGUAGCUAUGUGCGGAAGGGAUAAGUGCUGAAAGCAUCUAAGCAUGAAGCCCCCCUCAAGAUGAGAUUUCCCAUAGCGUAAGCUAGUAAGAUCCCUGAAAGAUGAUCAGGUUGAUAGGUUCGAGGUGGAAGCAUGGUAACAUGUGGAGCUGACGAAUACUAAUAGAUCGAGGACUUAACCAUAUAA
rnacentral:rRNA from 1 species